rnacentral:misc_RNA from 1 species
GAAAGGAUGGCUGUUUACUAAAUGAUUGUUGUUAUAAUGUGGUUACUCAAGGUUUUCUGCAGCAAAAGGAUUUUCCAGGGCCAAUAAGACGUUAAUGAAAUGGUAGAUAUGGAUUAUGGAAUGCUUUAGUGAUGUGCUGAUAGUAUAGUUGUUGUCUGCUAACGAUAUGUUUUUGAAAAAGACACUUAGAUUUGCCGAAGUCAAUGAGGUGGAAUGUGUAGUGAAAUUUUCCUAUUUAAUGUUGCUCUUAAGGAUGGAAGGAAAUGGAAGUAAUUUGUAUUCCACCUGUAAGCUAUUCUUACUUUGAUCAGAUAUAAUGAUGUGGACAUAAUGCAACCUGCUUCCUGCUUUUGCUUGAUAUGGAUACCCAUUAAUAAGAAAUCCUCCAAUUCAAUACCCAUAUGAUAUAGUUGACUGUUGUAAUUUUGUAAGAAAAUUCAACAGGUAAGGUUAGUGAUAGAAGGACCUGCCUGGCAGAACCACCUAUAGGUGAUGUUGGAAUGAUUCAAGAGGCUGAUAUGGAGGUAUGCAGAUCAGUAAAGUAUCUGAUUUCUGCAUGAAGCAUCUAUAAGAAUAGCAAUUUGACCUUUUCUUUCCCCUACUUCUCUUUCCUUUCCACGCACAUUUAGCAGCUAAGAAUUCCGCUUCUGUUAUUCACUCGGCCCAGUAGUGCCUGUCCGUAUAAAGUGGUCAGUUUUUG